GCCAACACCUGUUGCGACAGCUGGCUUGGAGAAAGUGAGACUCAAUAUUUUUCUUGAAGUAUCUUUUUCCUUUCCAUUCUGUGUUAGUGUUUCUCUCUCUUUUCCCUUCUCUCUCCCUUCUCAACUUUCAUCAGCCUCUUCAUCUGGUGUUCAUCUUCCGAGUGUGAGCUUUCUGUUUCGAUGACAUUUUCCUAAAAUUUUUAUUUAGACCUUAUCCUCUUUACCGGAGUUGUACAUUGUCGUUUGCAAAAGUGGAAAAAAUGAGAAUAAAUUAAUACACCUCCAAGGAAUGAAGAGGCUUCACCAAAUACGGGAAGCUCCCAUGUUGUAGUGGACGAAGAACGAUGGCAUUUCCCUCAACAGCUUAGGUUGGAAAUGCACUAUAUGAUGGUCAACUUCUUGAUGUUCAUUUUACACGGUCCUUCUACAAGCAUAUAGUUUGAGCUCUGACAUAUCAUGAUAUCAAAGCUAUUGAUCCUAACCACUUCAAAAAUUUGAAAUGACUGCUUGAGGUGCAGUAAUUUCUGUUUUCUUUGUGAUUAUAGAAAUUAACCUGGUAAUCAAAAAUAGAACAUCACCAGAGCAAAACUGGAACAUAAAUUGAAUUUCUUAAAAAAGAAAAACAAAAGCGAGACUAGAAACAGAAGCACUUGAAAUAAAAAGAUUAGUAACAGAUAUGAAGAUUUAAGUGAGAGAUAAAGAGUCGGAGAAAGGAACGAAGAGUUAAGAAGGAGAAGUGGAAAACACACGUUCCAAAAAGUUACACGCGUGUCACCCAAAAAGAGGAGAAGUGAGGAGUCGUGUCUAUAGUAAAAGAGUAAAAAAAUCAUUAUGACCAAGUUUAAUUGUACAAAACACAACCAUUGAAAUUUCAGCAUUUGUGUUACUGUGGUUCUCGUUUCCAUUUGUGUAAUGCAGGUGGCUGACAACGGACUAAUCCCGGGUGGAUAAAAUAUCAGAGUCGCUGAGGAAAAUAAGCAAUAGUAUGUUGACUUGGUUGCUGAGAAUCGUUUGACGACUACUAUCUGCCCUCUGAUAAAUGCAUUUUUGGAACGAUUUAAUUAAUUGAUCCCGCAGGAUCUGAUCUCUAUUUUUCAUGACAAGGAAAUUGAGUUGUUAACCAUCGGUCUUCCAAACAUCGAUGAUCAUCGAUCGUCUGAGAUGGAUGUAGAGGCAAAAAAGGAAAUGAGGAGUUUAUGAAAAUGGGCUAUAAAUUAGAAGUGGCCAAAUCAUUCAUCUUUAUUGGAACAUUUGGAUUAUGUAUUUAUGUUGAGCAUCAUCUAGUGGAGGAUGAUUGCAGCACGAUUAAGAGAUUGAAUUGCUAAUUAUAAAAGUUGUCUUGGAGUCUUUUUGAGAAUUAAGGGCUCAUUUAGUACAAGGGAUAAGGGAUAAAUACUUGCGGGGUUAAAUUUGAGGUGAGUUUAUCUCAUGUUUGGUUGGGAUAAAAUCUCAGUACAACUAAUCCUUGGAUCAGUUAUCCGAGGAUUGUAGUGUGAUUGUAUUCCUAUGGGAGGGUGGAAUAACUAAUUCCGGUAUAAGUAAUACUCGGAUAACUUGUUUCCCAACUAAACGACCCCCAAGAGUUAUCUGGUAGCUUUUUCAUUGCUGGAAAGGUAGAAUGGGAUGCACCAGCUGAUAAUUCUUAGUUCACCAGUUGAAAAUAUUAUGCACUUGCCAGACAUAAAUUAUUCACAGUUACAUGUGUUAACAUCUGUUUUGAGUCCAAGUGUUCAAUUUGGAGUCCUUUUGUGCUUCUGCUUUUUCUUUCGAGGUUUCUCAAACAUGUAGUUAUAUAUUUUGGUGUUUGAAGUCUGCUUUGAGUUCUUUAGGUUGGUCUUCCACGAGAGAAUUCAACUGUUUCAUGGUCAAAAGUUCACAUGUACUGCGGAGAGAGAAUAAAAGCGGGGCAUGCAUCUACUUUUGAAGAGAUGUUUAGUUUCUUAACAUUCAAGUUUGUUUGUAAUUAUAAUUAAGGGUACAUAAAAUACCUUAUUUGUAUAUGUUGCUAUGAUUCAAUCAAUGACAAUUAUAAUGGACGUUCUCAUA